GGGCCCGCACAAGCGGUGGAGUAUGUGGUUUAAUUCGAUGCAACGCGAAGAACCUUACCAGGGCUUAAAUGUAGUCUGACAGCUUUAGAGAUAAAGUUUUCUUCGGACAGAUUACAAGGUGCUGCAUGGUUGUCGUCAGCUCGUGCCGUGAGGUGUCAGGUUAAGUCCUAUAACGAGCGCAACCCCUGUUGUUAGUUGCCAGCGAGUAAUGUCGGGAACUCUAACAAGACUGCCGGUGCAAACCGUGAGGAAGGUGGGGAUGACGUCAAAUCAUCACGGCCCUUACGUCCUGGGCCACACACGUGCUACAAUGGCCGGUACAGAGAGCAGCCACUACGCGAGUAGGAGCGAAUCUUCAAAACCGGUCUCAGUUCGGAUCGGAGUCUGCAACUCGACUCCGUGAAGGAGGAAUCGCUAGUAAUCGCAGGU
rnacentral:rRNA from 1 species